rnacentral:rRNA from 1 species
AUUGAACGCUGGCGGCAUGCCUUACACAUGCAAGUCGAACGGCAGCACGGGAGCAAUCCUGGUGGCGAGUGGCGAACGGGUGAGUAAUAUAUCGGAACGUGCCCGGUCGUGGGGAUAACGUAGCGAAAGCUACGCUAAUACCGCAUACGAUCUACGGAUGAAAGCGGGGGAUCGCAAGACCUCGCGCGAUUGGAGCGGCCGAUAUCAGAUUAGGUAGUUGGUGAGGUAAAGGCUCACCAAGCCAACGAUCUGUAGCUGGUCUGAGAGGACGACCAGCCACACUGGAACUGAGACACGGUCCAGACUCCUACGGGAGGCAGCAGUGGGGAAUUUUGGACAAUGGACGCAAGUCUGAUCCAGCCAUUCCGCGUGCAGGAUGAAGGCCCUCGGGUUGUAAACUGCUUUUGUACGGAACGAAAGGUUUGUCUUAAUACGAUGAGCUCAUGACGGUACCGUAAGAAUAAGCACCGGCUAACUACGU